GUGGCAAAGGCCUGGGGCACAAGCAAGCCAGCCAUCUGCCCAGACCUUUCCAGGACCACGACAGACUCUUUACCUCCAUGGGUUGCCUCCACGGGUUGCUACAGCCUGGACAUGGAAACCUGUGAGAUCUCUCCACUGUUUUUUUAAGCUCCCAUCUUCCGGCAGUGAAUGGCACACCACAUGAGUCAACGUGUCAGAACGGAUGUUAAGCAAGGGCUUCUGCUGUAACCUCUGAACUACUGAGACUCGAGAUACUUCAGUGCUGUGUACAGUCUGCCUCUGCGUUCCCUACCCCCUGCCAGAAGUUCCAAUCCUCCCUCCAGCCCGCAACAAGCAUGAUACACAGACAACUGGUUUCUGUGCUGUGUCCUCCUGCAGCAAGCCCAGGGCUCUCUGCCCCUUUCCUGGCCGCUCCCCUAGUGUUAAAAUGGCACUAUCCAUAAAACUCCUCCUUAAUGAGGCCAUUCUGAGGAGACAGCACGAGACAUCCUCCAUGCCUUUGUGUCUCCAAAAAAAACCAACACUCCUCCUGAUAAGCAGAACUCUCCAGGUGCCUGUCCUUGAGACCUUAGAGAAAUAACAAGCUCAAGGGAGACUAGGGCCUCGAGUUUAAAUCAUGGAGAAAAGGUAAUCAGAGGUCGGGUCACAGACAGUUAAGAGUGGCCAUGAAAUUAGUCCCUGAACAGACACACAUUAACCCGUCCCCCUCAGUACCAUUCCACCAAGUGAUUACAGCCCUCUGCUCCCCUUUUCUGUGAACAUUCACAGGAUUUCUAACUAUACUGAUAUAAACCCAGUGUUUUCU
ensembl:processed_transcript Gm15507 predicted gene 15507